GACGGAGGAUGCAAGCGUUAUCCGGAAUUAUUGGGCGUAAAGCGUCCGCAGGUGGCAUUUCAAGUCUGCUGUCAAAGACCGGGGCUUAACCCCAGAAAGGCAGUGGAAACUGAAAAGCUAGAGAUAGGUAGGGGCAGAGGGAAUUCCUGGUGUAGCGGUGAAAUGCGUAGAGAUCAGGAAGAACAUCGGUGGCGAAGGCGGUUCUCUGGGCAUUACCUGACGCUGAGGAGCGAAAGUGUGGGGAGCGAACAGG
rnacentral:rRNA from 1 species